rnacentral:rRNA from 1 species
GACGUAGGGCGCGAGCGUUGUCCGGAUUUAUUGGGCGUAAAGAGCUCGUAGGCGGCUUGUCGCGUCGGCUGUGAAAACCCGCAGCUCAACUGUGGGCUUGCAGCUGAUACGGGCGGGCUGGGAUUCGGUAGGGGAGACUGGAAUUCCUGGUGUAGCGGUGAAAUGCGCAGAUAUCAGGAGGAACACCGGCGGCGAAGGCGGGUCUCUGGGCCGUAACUGACGCUGAGGAGCGAAAGGCGUGGGGAGCGAACAGG